AUUGAACGCUGGCGGCAGGCCUAACACAUGCAAGUCGAACGAGCGGCGGACGGGUGAGUAAUGUAUGGGAACCUGCCUGAUAGAGGGGGAUAACUACUGGAAACGGUAGCUAAUACCGCAUACCAUCGGAUGUACCCAUAUGGGAUUAGCUAGUAGGUGGGGUAACUGCUCCCCUAGGCGACGAUCCCUAGCUGGUCUGAGAGGAUGACCAGCCAAACUGGAACUGAGACACGGUCCAGACUCCUACGGUAGGCAGCGGUGGGGAAUAUUGCACAAUGGGCGCAAGCCGGAUGCUGCCAUGCCGCGGGUAUGAAGAAGGCCCUAGGGUUGUAAAGUACGUUCAGCGGGGAGUCGUUACCGGCAGAAGAAGCACCGGCUAACUCCGUGCCAGCCGCCGCGGUAAUAC
rnacentral:rRNA from 1 species